GGCACAGACCAUCCAACUUUCAUGGUGGAGCUGAGUGUAGUUUACAGGAUACGGCUUCUCCUGAGUGAGGUUAGAAGUUCUCUGAGAACAUGUCUCCAUCUUCCACGCUUCCACGUUGUCUACUUGCUCAUGUGAAGGAGAAUUCCUGACAAGAAGCUGUGUCUGCAGACGCUGAGUGAUGGAGUGUUGCAGACCUAGAGCCUAAUUACCUUGGGAUGCUGAAGCUACCUGGCUAGUCCUGCCUAUCUGAAAAAAAUGGAGGCCAUAAGAUCCCAAAUUGCCAUUCAAUCU